rnacentral:rRNA from 1 species
GAUGAACGCUGGCGGCGUGCCUAAUACAUGCAAGUCGAGCGAACAGACGAGGAGCUUGCUCCUCUGACGUUAGCGGCGGACGGGUGAGUAACACGUGGAUAACCUACCUAUAAGACUGGGAUAACUUCGGGAAACCGGAGCUAAUACCGGAUAAUAUAUUGAACCGCAUGGUUCAAUAGUGAAAGACGGUUUUGCUGUCACUUAUAGAUGGAUCCGCGCCGCAUUAGCUAGUUGGUAAGGUAACGGCUUACCAAGGCAACGAUGCGUAGCCGACCUAAGAGGGCGAUCGGCCACACUGGAACUGAGACACGGACCAGACUCCUACGGGAGGCAGCAGUAGGGAAUCUUCCGCAAUGGGCGAAAGCUUGACGGAGCAACGCCGCGUGAGUGAUGAAGGUCUUCGGAUCGUAAAACUCUGUUAUUAGGGAAGAACAAAUGUGUAAGUAACUAUGCACGUCUUGACGGUACCUAAUCAGAAAGCCACGGCUAACUACGUG